GAGUUUGAUCGUGGCUCAGGAUGAACGCUGGCGGCGUGCCUAAUACAUGCAAGUCGAACGAACAGAUAAGGAGCUUGCUCCUUUGACGUUAGCGGCGGACGGGUGAGUAACACGUGGGUAACCUACCUAUAAGACUGGAAUAACUCCGGGAAACCGGGGCUAAUGCCGGAUAACAUGUUGAACCGCAUGGUUCUACAGUGAAAGACGGUCUUGCUGUCACUUAUAGAUGGACCCGCGCCGUAUUAGCUAGUUGGUGGGGUAACGGCCUACCAAGGCGACGAUACGUAGCCGACCUGAGAGGGUGAUCGGCCACACUGGAACUGAGACACGGUCCAGACUCCUACGGGAGGCAGCAGUAGGGAAUCUUCCGCAAUGGGCGAAAGCCUGACGGAGCAACGCCGCGUGAGUGAUGAAGGUCUUCGGAUCGUAAAGCUCUGUUGUUAGGGAAGAACAAAUGUGUAAGUAACUGUGCAUAUCUUGACGGUACCUAACCAGAAAGCCACGGCUAACUACGUGCCAGCAGCCGCGGU
rnacentral:rRNA from 1 species